rnacentral:rRNA from 1 species
CCUACGGGCGGCAGCAGUGAGGAAUAUUGGUCAAUGGCCGUAAGGCUGAACCAGCCAAGUAGCGUGAAGGAUGACUGCCCUACGGGUUGUAAACUUCUUUUAUAAAGGAAUAAAGUGAGGCACGUGUGCCUUUUUGCAUGUACUUUAUGAAUAAGGAUCGGCUAACUCCGUGCCAGCAGCCGCGGUAAUACGGAGGAUCCGAGCGUUAUCCGGAUUUAUUGGGUUUAAGGGGAGCGUAGAUGGGUUGUUAAGUCAGUUGUGAAAGUUUGCGGCUCAACCGUAAAAUUGCAAUUGAUACUGGCAGCCUUGAGUACAGUUGAGGUAGGCGGAAUUCGUGGUGUAGCGGUGAAAUGCUUAGAUAUCACGAAGAACUCCGAUUGCGAAGGCAGCUUACUAAACUGCGACUGACAUUGAUGCUCGAAAGUGUGGGUAUCAAACAGGAUUAGAUACCCCGGUAGUC